GUGGACGAGGUUCCUUCUUUUGAUUUAAAGUCUCAGGUUGACAAUGUAAAUAUAAAACUUGUAGUUGCCAUAGACGACGUUUUAAUUAGUGGAAGAUUUACAAAAGAAAGUGUAAUCGGUACUCUAAUACACAUCAAUGCGGCUGAUUUCUUGUUCUCGAAGUUCACUCAUCCAAGGAUUAGUUUAUCUAUUCAUGGUAUAAUUUUACCUUAUACAAAACGCAGUUCUAUUUAUGGCAUAAGAUAUAAAGAUAUUUCGAAAAAUAGUCGCUUGGAGAACAUAAGGACUUCUCAAAUCAAAGAAAGUAGUGACUUUUUUAUAAGCAAGCGCCAUUACUUUCCAAUGUAUACCUAUCACUUUGGAAUAGUGAU